GAUGAAGAACGAAGCGAAAUGCGAUAAGUAGUGUGAAUUGCAGAAUUCCGUGAAUCAUCGAAUCUUUGAACGCACAUUGCGCCUUCUGGUAUUCCGGAAGGCAUGCCUGUUCGAGAGUCAUUAACAACCGUUUCGAUCCCUUUCUUUCAGAAAUUACAAAGAGGAAAAGGGUUUGGUUAUGGUGGAGGAGGGAAAGGGAGCGUUUAGCCUGUAAAAAAAGAGGCUGUGUUCCGCCUCCCCCCCAAAAUUGUACAGGCGGUCGUGUGCGCCCACGCAUCGAGGUGUUGUAAAAGCUGCCACGGCACUUUUCACCUGUGCAGUGCGAGAUUGGCCAGCCGGUUUAAAAACCCCUCCAAACAAUCAAAGGUUGACCUCGGAUCAGGUAGGGAUACCCGCUGAACUUAAGCAUAUCAAUAAGCGGAGGA
rnacentral:misc_RNA from 1 species